GCUUUGUCUGAUAAUUAUAUUGGAUCUGUCUUGGUCCUUAAUGUCCUCUGCGUUUAUUGGAGAGUCGACCCUAGCAGCAAGGACCCCAAGGGAGAGCUGUGGUUGACAAUGACCCUUAACCGCAUUUCGUGUGUCUUGCUUAAUGUAGCCAUUGCUUGCUUCAUUUUGGGAGAGUCAAUCGCAGUAAGGACCCCUUUUUGUGAGAGCUGCACAUGGCAAGGACCCCUUAUUGUGAGCAGGCACUUUGUGUUCUUUGCCUGGGCUUCGUAUUUUGGAAAGUCGACCCACACAGCAAGGACCCCAAAGGAGAGCUGUGGUCGAUAAGGACCCUUAAUCGUUUACAGUGGCAUGAAUGCUAUUUGUGUUUACUAUAGCUAAGGUUGGGAGAGCUAAUUGUGGUAAGGACCCCUUAUUGGGAGAGCCGCAGUUUGCAAGGACCCCCCAUUGUGAGCGUUGAAGAAUUUUUUAGUUUUAAUUUUAUUUGCUCCUUUGUUUUGCUGUGUGAGAGAGUCAAUCUCCUCAGUCACAUCAGUAGAAACCUCUUUUGGCUCAGUUAGGAGAGUCAAAUGCAGUAAGGACCCCUCAAUUUGGGAGAGCUGUGCAUGGCAAGGACCCUUUAUUAUGAGCAUCAUUUUGAUUUUUGAUUUAGUUCACGCAUCUAUGCGUCUGUGUGGAGUUCACUCGCCGCUUUCGGAAUGUGGUUGGGGUGUGUCCAUCGCCGCAGUCAUGUACCCGAAGCCGGGUAGGAGUCCAAGCAUGGUUUAAAUGGGUGAAUUUGUUGUUGGUUUUAAUUGUUAUAAAUGUGUUUAUAUUUAUGCUCUUCUUUCCCCUCGCAGUCAUGUCCAGCCGGUCGCUUUUGUGUGUGCAGGAUCCCUUUGCGAAUUUUACACGAGCAGUACAUGGCUUUUUUUUUUUUUUUUUUUUUUUACUCAACGACACUCAGGAGAAGACUGUUGAUCAGAAUUCCCUGGUCGUUAUAUUUAUUGCCCUCUGAUUACAUGUAUUGUAAUAUUUAGGUACAUUAAAUGGCGGGAAAUAGUAUGUA